rfam:Fonticula alba strain ATCC 38817 unplaced genomic scaffold supercont2.4, whole genome shotgun sequence.
GCCUCGAUAGCUCAGUUGGGAGAGCGUGUGACUGAAGAUCACAAGGUCACCAGUUCAAUCCUGGUUCGAGGCA